UUUUUUGGUCGACACUGAAUCGUUAGUUUCAUCAUUGAAGAUCGUUAUCUUCGAAUGAAAAAAACUACGUUUCGUAAUGCAGCUUAUAUCCUACAAAAUUCUUAGUUAUAUAUAUGUAUAUACAUAUAUAAUAAACACGGAACACGUUUAUAGUGAUUUACCAGAAGAUUAUUUUCAUAUUUAACGUUAGACAAUGCUCGCGAAGUGAUUAGUUUAAUCAAUAAAAUUGAUUUCUCGCUAGAGAGAGAGAGAGAGAGAGAGAGAGAGAGAGAGAGAGAGAGAGAGAGA